UACGUAGGGUGCGAGCGUUAAUCGGAAUUACUGGGCGUAAAGCGUGCGCAGGCGGUGCUGUAAGACCGAUGUGAAAUCCCCGGGCUUAACCUGGGAACUGCAUUGGUGACUGCAGCGCUGGAGUAUGGCAGAGGGGGGUGGAAUUCCACGUGUAGCAGUGAAAUGCGUAGAGAUGUGGAGGAACACCGAUGGCGAAGGCAGCCCCUGGGCCAAUACUGACGCUCGAUGCACGAAAGCGUGGGGAGCAAACAGG
rnacentral:rRNA from 1 species